rnacentral:rRNA from 1 species
UACGUAGUGACCUGCGGAGGAUCAUUAUUG